rnacentral:rRNA from 1 species
GAUGAACGCUGGCGGCGUGCCUAAUACAUGCAAGUCGAACGCUGGAAAUCUAGCUUGCUAGAUUGAAGGAGUGGCGGACGGGUGAGUAAUACAUAAGCAACCUACCCACGAAGACUGGGAUAAUCUCUGGAAACGGGGACUAAUACCGGAUAGGUAAUCGGAAGGCAUCUUCUGAUUAUUAAAGGUUAAAAACACUGGUGGAUGGGCUUAUGGCGCAUUAGUUAGUUGGUGAGGUAACGGCCCACCAAGACGAUGAUGCGUAGCCGGCCUGAGAGGGUGAACGGCCACAUUGGGACUGAGACACGGCCCAGACUCCUACGGGAGGCAGCAGUAGGGAAUUUUCGGCAAUGGGGGAAACCCUGACCGAGCAACGCCGCGUGAGUGAUGACGGCCUUCGGGUUGUAAAGCUCUGUUGUAAGGGAAGAACGGUAGAUAGAGAAUAUCUAAAUGACGGUACCUUACCAGAAAGCCACGGCUAACUACGUG